rnacentral:rRNA from 1 species
UACCGGUCGGUUAGCGGCGGACGGGUUAGUAACGCGUGGGAAUAUACCCUUUGGUACGGAAUAGCCUCGGGAAACUGAGAGUAAUACCGUAUGUGCCCUUCGGGGGAAAGAUUUAUCGCCAAAGGAUUAGCCCGCGUUGGAUUAGAUAGUUGGUGGGGUAAUGGCCUACCAAGUCUACGAUCCAUAGCUGGUUUGAGAGGAUGAUCAGCAACACUGGGACUGAGACACGGCCCAGACUCCUACGGGAGGCAGCAGUGGGGAAUCUUAGACAAUGGGCGCAAGCCUGAUCUAGCCAUGCCGCGUGGACGAUGAAGGCCUUAGGGUUGUAAAGUCCUUUCAGAUGGGAAGAUAAUGACGGUACCAUCAGAAGAAGCCCCGGCUAACUCCGUG